GAUGAACGCUGACAGAAUGCUUAACACAUGCAAGUCUACUUGAACUUCGGUUUGGGUGGCGGACGGGUGAGUAACGCGUAAAGAACUUGCCUCACAGUUAGGGACAACAUUUGGAAACGAAUGCUAAUACCUGAUAUUAUGAUUUUAGGGCAUCCUAGGAUUAUGAAAGCUACAUGUGCUGUGAGAGAGCUUUGCGUCCCAUUAGCUAGUUGGAGAGGUAACGGCUCACCAAGGCGAUGAUGGGUAGCCGGCCUGAGAGGGUGAACGGCCACAAGGGGACUGAGACACGGCCCUUACUCCUACGGGAGGCAGCAGUGGGGAAUAUUGGACAAUGGACCAAAAGUCUGAUCCAGCAAUUCUGUGUGCACGAUGACGUUUUUCGGAAUGUAAAGUGCUUUCAGUUGGGAAGAAAAAAAUGACGGUACCAACAGAAGAAGUGACGGCUAAAUACGUG
rnacentral:rRNA from 1 species